GAGUUUGAUCUUGGCUCAGAUUGAACGCUGGCGGCAUGCCUUACACAUGCAAGUCGAACGGCAGCACGGGAGCUUGCUCCUGGUGGCGAGUGGCGAACGGGUGAGUAAUGCAUCGGAACGUAUCCUGGAGUGGGGGAUAACGUAGCGAAAGUUACGCUAAUACCGCAUAUUCUGUGAGCAGGAAAGCGGGGGACCUUCGGGCCUCGCGCUCUUGGAGCGGCUGAUGUCGGAUUAGCUAGUUGGUGAGGUAAAGGCUCACCAAGGCGACGAUCCGUGGCAGGUCUGAGAGGAUGAUCUGCCACACUGGAACUGAGACACGGUCCAGACUCCUACGGGAGGCAGCAGUGGGGAAUUUUGGACAAUGGGGGCAACCCUGAUCCAGCCAUGCCGCGUGAGUGAAGAAGGCCUCGGUGUAAG
rnacentral:rRNA from 1 species